rnacentral:misc_RNA from 1 species
AAGAGUUGCAAAACUCCCUAAACCAUUGUGAACUUACCUAUACCGUUCCUUCGGCGGGCGGCGUCGCGCCCUAACCUGCCCCUGAGGCGGACCCGCCGGAGGCCAUAAACCCUUAUUUUUAGUUGGCAUCUCUGAGUAACACUUUUAAAUAAGUCA